rnacentral:rRNA from 1 species
UACGAAGGGGGCUAGCGUUGUCCGGAAUCAUUGGGCGUAAAGAGCGUGUAGGCGGCUUGGCAAGUCUGACGUGAAAGCCCGCGGCUCAACCGCGGAUUGUCGUUGGAAACUGCCUCGCUAGAGUCCGGAAGAGGAGAGCGGAAUUCCUGGUGUAGCGGUGGAAUGCGCAGAUAUCAGGAAGAACACCCGUGGCGAAGGCGGCUCUCUGGGACGGUACUGACGCUGAGACGCGAAAGCGUGGGGAGCGAACAGG